GAACGCUGGCGGUAUGCUUAACACAUGCAAGUCGAACGGAAACGAUACUAGCUUGCUAGUAGGCGUCGAGUGGCGGACGGGUGAGUAACGCGUAGGAAUCUGCCUGAUAGUGGGGGAUAGCCCGAAGAAAUUCGGAUUAAUACCGCAUAAUCUAUUCGUAGUAAAGUGGGGGACUUUCGAGCCUCACGCUAUCAGAUGAGCCUGCGUAAGAUUAGCUUGUUGGUAGGGUAAAAGCCUACCAAGGCGACGAUCUUUAGCUGGUCUGAGAGGAUGAUCAGCCACAUCGGGACUGAGACACGGCCCGAACUCCUACGGGAGGCAGCAGUGGGGAAUAUUGGACAAUGGGGGCAACCCUGAUCCAGCAAUACCGCGUGUGUGAAGAAGGCCUGGGGGUUGUAAAGCACUUUCAAUUGUGAAGAAAAGUUAGCGGUUAAUAACCGUUAGCCUUGACGUUAACUUUAGAAGAAGCACCGGCUAACUCCGUGCCAGCAGCCGCGGUAAUACGGAGGGUGCAAGCGUUAAUCGGAAUUACUGGGGCGUAAAGCGUGCGUAGGCGGUUUAUUAAGUCAGAUGUGAAAAGCCCCGGGGCUUAACCUGGGAACUGCAUUUGAAAACUGGGUCAACUAGAGUAUGGGUAGAGGAAAAGUGGAAUUUCUGGGUGUAGCGGUGAAAUGCGUAGAUAUCAGAAGGAACAUCAAUGGCGAAGGCAGCUUUCUGGACCAAUACUGACGCUGAGGUACGAAAGCGUGGGUAGCAAACAGGAUUAGAUACCCUGGUAGUCCACGCCGUAAACGAUGAUAACUAGCCGUUGGGGGGAUUUACCCUUUAGUGGCGAAGCUAACGCGUUAAGUUAUCCGCCUGGGGAGUACGGCCGCAAGGUUAAAACUCAAAGGAAUUGACGGGGACCCGCACAAGCGGUGGAGCAUGUGGUUUAAUUCGAUGCAACGCGAAGAACCUUACCUGGUCUUGACAUCCUGCGAACUUUCUAGAAAUAGAUUGGUGCCUUCGGGAACGCAGUGACAGGUGCUGCAUGGCUGUCGUCAGCUCGUGUCGUGAGAUGUUGGGUUAAGUCCCGUAACGAGCGCAACCCCUAUCCUUAUUUGCCAGCACAUCAUGGUGGGAACUAUAAGGAGACUGCCGGUGAUAAACCGGAGGAAGGCGGGGACGACGUCAAGUCAUCAUGGCCCUUACGACCAGGGCUACACACGUGCUACAAUGGGAAGGACAAAGAGCCGCGAAGCCGCGAGGUGUAGCUAAUCUCAUAAACCUUUUCGUAGUCCGGAUUGGAGUCUGCAACUCGACUCCAUGAAGUCGGAAUCGCUAGUAAUCGUAGAUCAGAAUGCUACGGUGAAUACGUUCCCGGGUCUUGUACUCACCGCCCGUCA
rnacentral:rRNA from 1 species